GACGAACGCUGGCGGCGUGCUUAACACAUGCAAGUCGAACGGAAAGGCCCUGCUUUUGUGGGGUGCUCGAGUGGCGAACGGGUGAGUAACACGUGAGUAACCUGCCCUUGACUUUGGGAUAACUUCAGGAAACUGGGGCUAAUACCGGAUAGGAGCUCCUGCUGCAUGGUGGGGGUUGGAAAGUUUCGGCGGUUGGGGAUGGACUCGCGGCUUAUCAGCUUGUUGGUGGGGUAGUGGCUUACCAAGGCUUUGACGGGUAGCCGGCCUGAGAGGGUGACCGGCCACAUUGGGACUGAGAUACGGAGCAGACUCCUACGGGAGGCAGCGGUGGGGAAUAUGGCACAAUGGUCGGAAGCCUGAUGCAGCAACGCCGCGAGCGGGAUGAAGGCCUUCGGGUUGUAAACCGCUUUAGCCUGUGACGAAGCGUGAGUGACGGUAAUGGGUAAAGAAGCACCGGCUAACUACGUG
rnacentral:rRNA from 1 species